GGAUCAAUAACUUAAAGGUAAAGUAUACAGCUCAUAAUUGUUUAAUAUAAGUUCGAUUCUUGUUUGAUCUA
rnacentral:tRNA from 1 species